rnacentral:tRNA from 1 species
GCCUGGGUGGCUCAGUUGGUUAAGCGUCUGACUGAAGCUCUGGUCAGGAUCUCACAGAUUGUGGGUUUGAGCCCCACAUCAGGCU